CAACUUGAGAGUUUGAUCCUGGCUCAGAACGAACGCUGGCGGCAUGCCUAACACAUGCAAGUCGAACGGGGUUCAGGUUUCGGCCUGGACUUACGUGGCGCACGGGUGAGUAACACGUGGGAAUCUGCCCAUCUAUGGGGAAUAACUGCGGGAAACUGCAGCUAAUACCGCAUACGCCCUUCGGGGGAAAGGCUUCGGCCGUAGAUGGAUGAGCCCGCGUCCGAUUAGCUAGUUGGUGGGGUAAAA
rnacentral:rRNA from 1 species